UUAACAGGGACACAGGAAGAGCCGGGAGAGCGAAGGGAAGCCUGUUGAUGCUGAAGAAUUUACAGUUGGCCGGGGAAGAAACCGCUGUUCCUGCGCUCAGAAGGCAACACAAGAUGAAUUCCUGAAAAUCCCGAUCACCUAAUUGUUACUUUUAUAGGUGGAAUAUUGGCUGAAACCGUAGACAUUAAAGAUCUCUUAGUAACAGGCUAUUACAGACGUAAGGAGCAUUUUAAAUACGACUCCAACAGUUUAACAAGAAAGUAUUUUAG